CACCAAACCCAAAACCUAAACAUUCUACUCUAUCUCCUACAAAACCUUAACCAUAAUCGUGCAAAACAAAAACCCUUCUAACAAAACCCUCAAAUUCAAUCUCCCGCAAAACCUAGACUAUAAUCGCGCACCACCACCGAUCACCGCCGCACAAAUGUACCGCCACCGCACUACUGUUCCGCUGCUUCUUUUCAACCUCUGGUGACCAUCGCCUCUCCACACUCCGAAUUUUGAGUUAACUUUCACAGAAUUUCUUCAAUUGGCUGGUGGCACAAAUGCUCACACAAUAAAAGGGUUGAAGGAACACAGACUUUUUCAAACCAGGAGGAACCCGGAUGAUGAGAUCUUGACCGGUGAAAUAUCUAGUUCAUGCAAUUCUCUAAUUGGUGGUAUGGCAUAUGGUGGCUAUGCUAGGAAGGUACAAAGGUGUGAAGACUCUAGACCUCUAAAAAUUGAGUUGAGAGGAAAAUGAACAGUGUGAUUCGGAUGCAUACUGUUUGUGCUAGAGCUUUUGGACCUGGUAAAAGUUACAGAUGCUCAAUUUAUCUAUCUUGGGGUCAAUUUGACAGUAUGAACCUUCACACCUGCAUCAAUAAACCUGCGUAUUUUAUCAAAGCUCCCACGUAUUCUCAAACUACGAUUGACGAGCUAAGGGAGAGGUGGAUCUCAUACGUUACCGAAUAUCACCGACCAAAUAAUGAUGAAAAGGAAGAUGAUGAUGACGAUGAUCUAUUGUGACUUAAGCUAGCUCAAGGAGAUGAUUACCUCAGUUCAGUCCUGCAGAUGAACCAAGUCUGUUUCUGUUGUUGCUGCAGAAGCUGUUGUUGCUACAUAAUCUGUUCUUGCUGCAGAAUCUGUUUUUUUUUGUAGUGAUAUUGGAUUUUUUUUUUUUUUUUUUGACGUACCCUGGAUCAUUUAUAUUUUAUCAAUGAAUAAUAGGAUUGUUAUUGAAUAAACAAUAUUAUUUCGUUAUUUAAUGAAAGGAUUUUUGGACAA